rnacentral:misc_RNA from 1 species
UAAAAAGGUAGUGACAUCAUCAUGGUGACAUCACCUAUGAGGUCAUAAAUAAUUUUUAUUUAUUUAAUAAUUUGACUAAGUCAAUUAGAGGAUAAAUACAUAAAAUAAAGAAACAAAAAAAAAAUUCAUUUUCCUUCAUCUUCUUCAUUUGGCCGAAACCCACUCUCUCACUUCCCUCUCUCUUAUUUCAUUCUCCACCAUUGAUAAACCUCCCUAUGCUUUUGAAACCCUAAAUUAAACA